rnacentral:rRNA from 1 species
AGUGAACGCUGGCGGCGGGCCUAACACAUGCAAGUCGAACGGAGUGGCGCGCGGGCGGGUAAUGUAUAGCUGAGCUGCCCUACACUAGAGGACAACAGUUGGAAAAGACGGCUACUACUCCAUAGUGUAGGUUGAGGCUAUAUUGUAUCAGCUAGUUGGUGAGGUAAGGGCUGACCAAGGCGAUGACGCAUAACUGGUCUGAGAGGAUGAGCUGUAGCACUGGAACUGAGACACGGGUCAGGCUCCUACGGGAGGGAGCAGUAGGGAAUAGUGCUCAAGCGGGGUAACCCUGAAGCGGCAUCGCCGCGUGGAGGAUGACACUUGUCGUAGCGUAAACUCCUUUUGAUAGGGAAGCGGUACCUAACGAAUAAGCACCGGCUAACUCCGUGCCAGCAGCCGCGGUAAUAC